CUCAGCUCGGGAACGCGCAUAUGUGCAGUAGAGCGCUCAGUUCAUUCUUAGAGCAUCAUUCAAUGCCGUUCUAAAGAACGCGAUUGGUACAGCACAAAUGCACCCACGCGCACCAGAGAGCGAUGACUCUUCUCAAAGAGAAGAGUCUGAUCGAGUCCUGCUAUUUCGUCAUGUUGACGAAAAAGGGGGCGUAGCCUGCUGAGGAACUCGGCGCUGGAAUGGAGACAAGUUUAUAUAAGAAAA